AACACUGUUAACCUGCGGUACCUGCGGAAGGAUCAUUACAGAGUUAUCCAACUCCCAAACCCAUGUGAACUUAUCUCUUUGUUGCCUCGGCGCAAGCUACCCGGGACCCCGCGCCCCGGGCGGCCCGCCGGCGGACAAACCAAAACUCUUGUUAUCUUAGUUGAUUCUCUGAGCGUCUUAUUUAAUAAGUCAAAACUUUUAACAACGGAUCU
rnacentral:misc_RNA from 1 species